GGUCGUCGAGUAGACGUUUGACGUCCGUCGGACGUCAGGACAACGGCUGGCGGACGGUUGCUUAACACAUGCAAGUCGACGGAAGGCCCUGCUUUUGUGGGGUGCUCGAGUGGCGAACGGGUGAGUAACACGUGAGUACCUGCCCUUGACUUUGGGAUAACUUCAGGAAACUGGGGCUAAUACCGGAUAGGAGCUCCUGCUGCAUGGUGGGGGUUGGAAAGUUUCGGCGGUUGGGGAUGGACUCGCGGCUUAUCAGCUUGUUGGUGGGGGUAGUGGCUUACCAAGGCUUUGACGGGUAGCCGGCCUGAGAGGGUGACCGGCCACAUUGGGACUGAGAUACGGCCCAGACUCCUACGGGAGGCAGCAGUGGGGGAAUAUUGCACAAUGGGCGGAAGCCUGAUGCAGCAACGCCACGUGCGGGAUGACGGCCUUCGGGUUGUAAACCGCUUUCGCCUGUGACGAAGCGUGAGUGACGGUAAUGGGUAAAGAAGCACCGGCUAACUACGUG
rnacentral:rRNA from 1 species